CUGGGCUCAAGCUAUCUUCCUACCUCAGCCUCGUGACCAAUACUGAAGGGACUGAAGACAUUUCUCUCUGUCUCUCUGCAUUUGUGUAUAUGUCCUGUCACCGAACCUCUGCAAACCAAAGAUGCAUUCCCUGUCUCAUAUUAAUGCUGCAACAUAACUGAUAAGAUUUUGAGCGACUUUACGA